UUUAUACGGAUCAUCUUUAUUUUAUUGAAUAUGCAUUCUGAUCUUGCAGAAUAUAACAUGUAUUACGUUUGUAAUAUAAUAAAUUGUAAUCUUUUAAUUUUCAUGAAAUACGUGCUGCAUUUUAAUAUAGGAAAAGUAUACUUUUCUUUCGAAUGACUAUGAAACUUGAUUAUACGGAAUAUGAUUGGACAGUGGUAAGCGUAGGCAGAUGGAGGAAAUGUUGGACUAUGUCCAACCGGAUGAUAGUUUAAGCUUGAUUAAUUACCCAACGAUCAAUUGUGUUUUAUAAUAUUUAUGUACCGUAAAAAUUUGGCGUAACAUCGAUGGAGAUUUUUAAUUUAAUUUAUUUGUAUAUGAUGAUGAUGAUAAUGAUGGUAUUUGGAUGAUAAAGCUUCGCUUUAUUAUAAAAAAUAAAUCAAUUAGAACUUCAAAUAUUAUCUUUGUGUUAAAAAAAGUACAUUUUUUAGACUAUUGAUUCGAAAUUAAUACAAUCAAAUAAAUGCACAAUAUCACUUUCAAAAAUCGAAUAUCUCACAUGUAUUUUAACUCUUUAAUUUUAUCUUCGUUUUAUGUACUGUUCCAAUAUCGAUAUUCUUAAUAUCUUCUUCUCUCAUCUGAUCUGAAACAUUAGAUUUGUUAAUUAUGUAACUGAUUAUAAAGAUAUAUAAAUAACACAUGAUAAUUCUUUAUAUCAGACUUAUUAAAGUAAAAUUUUAUAUUAUAAUUUUAUAAAAUUUUUAUAUCGCAAAUAUCGCUAUAAAUUUUUCAAGUAUUGAAAUGUAUACGCAUAUAUACGAAUAUCAUUGAAUCGUGUCGAAUUGUAAAUGAAAUUAUUACAAUUAUGACAAACAAGAAAAAGGAAAUAAAAAAAUAAAUCGAGAAAACAAAGAAAAAAAACAAAAAAUAAACUGAAUCAUUUGAAUUGAGCGUCACUGAAACUUCGAUGAACGACGUCGGGAGAAGCAGCGCCUCUCUUCGGAUAGCUACAUACAGAAUCUAGCGUUCGGGCGCAUUCGGUUUUCCUGCCACGAAGUUGCCAAUGAGUGGCGCGACGCACAUAGGUUCGCGUUGCCAGUCACCGACGGAGCUUGAUCGUCUACGUGCCUCUUUAAAUCAGCAAGUUUACAGUUGUGAUCGAGAACAUUUUUCUAAUCACAAUCGAAUAUCUUGGAUGCUCCCUAUAUUGUCUCAAAAAUGAUAUUUUAACAUUUGUGUAACUUAAAUUCAAUAUAAAUUCUGAUAGCAACGUUGAAUAUGUCUAAAAUCGCUCUGAAACUAUAUCGAUCCAAUGUUCGGGUGAAGUGAAUACGAACGUGUAGCUGUGUAGAAUUGUGUAGCGUCGUCGCGUCAUUCCGCGCCACUCGCCGAUUUGUUUUGACAUGUGUGUGUUCUGCCAUAUUGGAUUAACACGUCGUAUAUUAAGGGCUAAAUAAGCGCGAGUUUCGCGCUAAAAAGAGCAAUACUUUUUCGGGACAACAAUGGAUCGUACAACGAGAAUCGCGUGGAUCAUUUAAGGUCGGGGGCGAUCAAUGCCCGAUGGCGUGGACUGGAACGCAACGUUGGAGAAAUCCUGCUCCAGAAGGUGACGAUGUACAACGAUCGAUCGAGCUGCUGGACAAAGUGCUCUCAGAGUACGACGAGCACGAAGCAGAGGGCGAAGGUGGUGGAGGCGUCGGCGUCGGCGUCGGCAGUGGCGGUGGCGGCGGCGGUGACGGUAGUGGAGGUGGGAGCGGCGGAGGUGUUGGGGAUUGUGGCAGCAGCACCGAACCAAGUAUUGGUCUCACACCUGACGACGAAAGUCCGUCCUUAGGACAUCAAUCCGAGGACGACGGUUACAUGAGUAUGAAUGGACGGAAAGCGAAGAUGGCUCUGGUAGCACUGCGUCCGGUUCCAGAUUGUCCAGAGCCACAAGAUCUCGCGGGUAUAUCUACUCAAGAAUUUCCACCACCGCCGGAAGAAGCCGAACGAAUCAUUUCUACUUUGUUGCCCAUGGUAUCGCCUGGAAAUUCUUCGAAACGAAACGGCCAUCCAUCAACUCGUCGAAGCGGACGACAACAGUGGAUGAUAGCUAUGGAGGAUAGUAUACGACACGGAAACGGUACUGUUACUACUCAAACAACUCUCCCCAAAACUCGACACCAGAGACCAUAUGGAUGGGAAAAUGGUAACGGUGAGCCAUUAAAAUUGGCUCAACCUCCAAGUCCACCAAGUAAAUUCGCCAGUUUACCAUACGAUGGUAAAGUGUCGUUCGGUUGGAUCCCACCUCGAACCAAUCCGACGACCAUAGAGAAGCAUCGCGAGGUCAGACGUCGAUCUUCAGAGGAAGAGGGACUAGAAGGGAAUAACAAAAACCAUCGGCAAAAUUUUGAGAAGGAUCGAACAUCGCAUUUGCGAAAGCAACGACAAAACAAUGAGAUCAUGAAAUCGAGCAGUGUAGAAGAUCGGUUGUUGAUGAAUCACGAGCAAUCGGAACAAAACGGGCGUAGAAGGAACGAUUCUGAUUCGAGUGAAGGAAGAUUCUCGAGAAACUCCGAAUCCGAGAGAUCCUCGAUCCCACGCUCGAGUUCGGUCAGUGUCGAAAGAUUUUCCAUGAGAGCGACAUGCGGAUCCUCCGAUUUUUCAAGGGCGAACUCGAUCUCGAACGAGAGAUUCCAUUCUUCAGAUUUCUCGAUAGCCGUGGCCAGUGCCAGCUCGAAUGAUCGUGUUUCCGUGCCGACAUCCGAACCUUUUUCAAUUCGAAACCUCGACUUUGUUUCGUUUUCUUUACCGACGAGAACCGAUUCUAAUGAAAGAUUCUCGGCCCCAACCUCGGACAGAUGUUCCGAAGAGCGUUAUUCCGACAUGUUCUCCACCAGAAACUCGGAUUUCUCGACCAGAAACUCGACGGAUUUUAGAACUCAAUCUGAAGAGGAACGGUUUUCCGAUGAUUCGUUGGAAGAACUUUUACCUCCUCCUCCUCCGAUCAGCAAGAGGCAUUCCAUCGCUUGGGAAGUACCUCUGGAAGAUGAUCCUUUAUACGCUCCAGGAAGUACCAAGGUGAUCGGUAGGAGACGACGUAAGAGCAGCGAUGUGUCCAGUGUUGGAUCAGCAUCUAAACUUCGCGAUUUCGACGAUUGGCAAGAUCCACGAUUAUCGACUACCGAUGACGAUUUAAUCUCUCCAUAUUCGGACUCUUCGACAAAUGAACUUGAUCAGAUACGGCCACAAGAUUUAACGAAAAAUGGUACCUAUGUGAUACGCCGUGGUCGAAAAAAGGAACGAAAAGGAUUGCCAAAAGCUCCUACCAAAACUAAAAGUUUAUCCUUCGAGAACAGCGAAGAAAAUCCAUUGUCCAACGUAAAACGAUACUCGAGUACCUUUGAUAACAUCAGAAGUCUUUUAAGAGAAAAUAAAAUGGAUGAACCGAUAGACGAUCCGCCAAUAGAAUUUGCGCCAUCUGUUCCGCCCGAUUUGGUCAGAGUGGUCUCACUUCCGGCGAUUAACGAUGAAACCGACAAUUGGCCACGGGAAUUGGAAGUCACGGUUGAAGAGGAAGAAAGUUCAGAUCUCUCGGACAAAGAUAAGAAGACUCGAGAAAUGUAUGAAUUGAUCCAAUUAUCAUCCUCGUUAUCAUCGAAUGACAAGCCUGAGAAAGGUCGAAUCGAUCUGGCUGAAUCUUUGAAUCAAGAAAAUAAUGAGUCAAAUAGUACAUGUAAUGGAGUUUCUUUUUCAACUUCUAACAGUUAUUCUAAGGGAUUUAGUCUAGCUAUAACACCACCUAGCGGGAACGCGUUCAUCGAAGAAUCAAGUGCGAGAAAAUCGCCUAAUUCCAGCCUUGGUAAUGAAAAUCGCUUAGCAUCCAAGAUUCCGGUAAAUUUAUUAAUAGAAGAUCAAAUUGUAAAAAAAGCUUUAAAGGAAAAUCGACGACAACUGGAGAAAGUCAGUGAUGCUAUAAAAGAGAUUGAGAGCGUGAAGAAUAGUGAAUCUUAUUCGGAGAAUAAACAACGAUGGAUCCGUACUGCAGAUGCGAAACAACCAUUAACGAGAAAAACUAGUCUCGAUAACGAAUCCAAUGAACGUGUCACCGCAGAUGCUAGAGCGAAAAAACAACUUGAUUCAGAUCUUGAUUCAGAUUCAGCAUCUAAGACCAGUCCAGAAACGACAGAUAUCGAGGGAAGAAGAAUAAAUGGAACAGAUAUUUAUGCAUCAGGGAAAAGAUUGCGACAGAAUGGUGUCGUUGAUGGUCAUAAGAACGAUCAAAAACAAAUCGAAAAUGUAAUCGACGCCAUUCUCGAGGAUUCCAAAAAUCCAGAUUUUCAGGUAAGUGUAGAAGUUCUCGAAUUUCCUCCGUUACCACCUUCUCCUGUAGAAGAAGCAGAUGAGGAAAGCUCGGACAUCGGUCAGAGUGCCAUGAUUGUUUCGAAACCAAAAAGUCAUAGCAAUCGAACAAUGGAAUAUAGACCUAGAGUGCCACCUCAUCGUGGCCCUGUUACCAAUCAUUCGUUCUCAGAUUCGAAAGAUCAACAAAUAUCUCUCAAUACUAGAUCCAUGGAUGCUGGAUUCUCUCGGGGUAAAAGAACACCUACUGCCACUACUUCCAGACGAGAGCAAAUACCAGUAGAACGAAGAACUUUGCCUACGGAUUUACCAGGACCAUCGCGACGACGGCCUUUUACAAAGAAACACUCACCAUCUGCAGAACCAUGCUCAUCUGUUGGAAACGGCAAUUGCAGUAGUAAUACCGUCACAAACGGAGUUAACAGCGGAGCUUGUAGUAGUACUAGCGGUGGAACCAGUAGUAAUAUAGCAACCAGUACCAGUGGGAUGCAAACUUCCUGUUCGCUUCCGGAAACUCCUGUUUUUGCUAGAGGAAGCGAUAUUCCUAGAACUCCUCAGCAUGCCAGCAAUCCUACGCAAAUGCGUCGGCAACCUGGUUGGUAUGCCCCAACCUCGGCUACCACCGGGUAUCGCAGGAAUAAUCCGGGUCUGGAACAAGCGAUAAUCGGGACAGAAUUAUUGCGAUUAGCCGGUGGCCCGAAUCGAGGAUGGUAUCCAACAAGGAAGGCGAACCAACCACGACCAGCUUCGAUCGAGCAUCUCGAACGACUGAACAAUGCAUAUGAUCCACGCUUGGCAGGUUCCGGAGACCAGAGGAAACCAUUGACUCUACCAACAAACAUCACACCGAACAAAUACUUCGGCCAAAGUAAGCACAGCUCCGCCUCCAGUACUCGCGAGGCGCUACGGAGGGUCACUAGCUUGCUCAUCAAGAAAGUUUGGUUAGUAAGCGGUCGGCUCGCUGGACGGAUUGGAUGCAGAGCAGGGACGUGUGGGAAGUCGGAAGGACACGGAAGGGGUGACUAGCUCGCCUCGUACAAGGGUGGUGGCAAUCGUUACUCCCGUCUACUGUUGGUCUGUCUAGCAACCCUCCAACCAAAUGCCAUCCCUACCAAAACCGGGAUUUGUAUCAUGGUCGAGUUGUGUUCGUCACGAAUCUUUCAACCCAAUAGAAAAUGUCGGUCUAUCACUUUUUUCACUCUUUCUUUAUUUUCUCUUCCUCUUCUUUUUUUCUCUUUUCUUUUCCUUCUUUUUUCACUCUUUUUCUUUUCUUUAUCUCUUUUGUUCUAUUCUUAUAUGAUUUUUAAAAAAAUAAAAAUAUUUAAAUAAUCGAUGAAUGUCAAUUAACAAGAAAACAUAGUUAUCCACCCACGCAAUAACUGAUUUUUCAUGGAAGUUACACUAUUAUUAUUAUUAUCGAUAUUUCUAAUUAUAUCUACGUCAUUGCACUCUGUUUGCAAAACAGGACUCACUGUGAUGUAUGUAAUACAUAGUGUAGUAUGUGUAUAUAUGUAUAUAUAUAUAUAUUUAUCAUCAAUAUAUCGGAUUCGAUCGAACCGAAAGUUUUAAAAUUUAUUUAAUAUAAUUUUUUUUGCUCUUGAUUUGUUUUUCUGUAAAAAAAAAAUAUUUUUCUUUCUUUCGUAUUCAUUGCAAUAAUAAAUUCAACUAUUUAUUAGAAACAUCUUGAAUUACAAUGUAACUUAACAUUUUUAAUGUCGCACAGCAACAAUUGAAAACCGGUGUAACAUUGCACUUAGUUGUUCUACUUAUUUUCUAUUAUAUAAAAUUAUUUUCCGUUUCUUUUUAUCACAAAAUUUUCAAUUUCUGGAGAAAUAGCUGAUAAAUUGUACAAUCUCAAAAAUUGCUUUUAUCGUCGUCAAUUCAAACAACAUUGUUAUUAUGAUGAGGAAUUUUAGUAUUAUCAUAUUUCGUGUGUGUGUGUGUGUGUGUGUGUGUGUGUGUGUGUGUGUGUGUGUGUGUGUGUGUGUGUGUUGGAGUGGGGACAUAAAAGGAUGGGUCAGACCGAACUGUACGCCAGACUGAGUCGUGAGCGUUUGGACAUUUAGAACGUCAGCUGGUUUCAGUAUGUUGCCAAGAGAGAUUCUGCUUGUCCUUGAACAAACUUAAUCUUGCUUCCCUUCGUCUUAUCUCCUUCAACCAAGACGUGAACGACAUUUUUAAAAUAUAAAAGUUUCUUUUCAUUUAUAUGUUUCUAUCUAUAUAGAUAUAGACAAAUAUAAAAUAUUAAACAUAACGAAAAUUAUUUAGCAGUUUUAUGAUUUUUCUCAAUUUUUAUUUAAAUCUAUAUUUUUUCUUAAUUUUGAUAUAAAAAAUAGAAAAAUAGUAAUUAGAGAUAUUAUAAAAAAUAAUAUUAUAAAUAAAAUCUUUUCAAAUAUGUGAAGUAAUUUUUUGAAGAAGUUUAUCGGGACUUUUCUUAAUCAAUUGUCAUAAUAUAUAACAAGAAAAAAUAAAAAAAUAUCAAAAUAAAAAAUAUUCCAAAUGAAUAAUUAAAAAAAAUUAAUUUAAAAAAAAAAUUAAUUGUGUAAUGAAUAUUUAAUCGAAUUCAAACCCAACACUUGAAGUGACCAAUUAUUCUAAACUAAUUUUAAAAAUUUUUUUUUUACGAAAUCAUUAAACAUAAAUAUUUUUUAAAAAUUAUCCGAUUAAUUUCCAUUUUUAAAAGAAAUUCUGCUCUUAAAAUAAAAAAAAAAUUAAACAAUCAAAAUUGAAAAAAUCAUUAAAUUGUGAAAUUAUUGUUAUUGAAAAUAUCAAUAUUUAUAUUAAAAUUUAAAUAAUUUUUUCAUUCGAAGAAAGCAAAAGACAGGAAAAGAAUAAUGAAAUAUAAAAGACGCGUUUAGUAUGUUCAUAAAGUAAUCGAUCGAUUCGAUGAGUAAUCACUCUCGCUAUCUUUGGUACGUAAUAGCAACGAGUCAGUUUCAUGAAAAUGCAACGAAUGUCUACUUUUUCAAAAUAUAGAUUUAACAAUCACUAUUACGAUGAAUUAACAUUAUUUUGUUUACUUUUUAAUUGAUUAUAUUUCUUCAAUUUCAUGGAUAAGCCAAAAUUGUCUUAUCUUUUAAAGAGAUGUUAGAUAAUAAUAGAGAUAGUUAACCAUGGCAAUGAAUAAGAAUCCUAGACACGACCCUGACCUCGAUUGAUGAAAGUAACGUAUUUGUUUCUCCUAUUUUUUUUAUUCUUUUCUUUAUUUCUUCAUCAUUUAUGCUAUUUAUUAUUAAUUUUGAAUAACGAUUAUUAUUAUCUUCAUAAUAACUGAUAAUAAAAAAAAUGUAAAAAAAUUAGAAAUAUUGAUAAAUGAAAACAAACCAAAUAUUCAUGUAUGUAUAUAUUUCCUCAAUUUGUUUGAUAUAAUUUUUUUCUUUUUGGAAUAUUUAAAACUGCUACUAUAAAAAAGAUGUGUAAAAUUUCUUCAAGAUGAAUAUAAUAAAUUUUAUGGAUGAAUAGAAAUAAAAUGAACUUGCAACACAAAAAGGACACACGUUCGUGUUUUUCAAGCAUUUCUAAUCAUCGCAUCUUUUACAAAGUUAAACUGUUCGCAAAGAGCUCGUUCUGUCAUCCGAAGCCAGCCGUUGAAACAAGAUAUGGAGAGAGGUUAUUAUUAUCCAUCCAGAAAUAGAGUCGCGAACGUAUAGACUAGUGGUUGUUACUGGUGGCCGAAUAAACUCUCGAUGGAAAGGGAAUAAAGGACUUUGGAAGUGGAAGCAAAGAUGGAAAAGGUGGGAAGGAUAAUGCAUCACCGUGUGGUCCUUAUGCAGAUAGAUAAUAAGAGAAUAAAGGGAUGAAAAAAAUGUAUUUGCAAGAAUAACCAUUUAUGGGAAUAGCAAUUUUCUCUGCUCAUUGUCAGUUAUCAUUGAUCAAAAGAGGGGGAGGCUAUCCGUCGUCAAUCGUAGCCGGCUUUUAACGUCCGUCGAUUCGAAGGAAAGGCCGGAAAGACCGUUGAUUAUUAUGCAGGCGACAGACAAUUGCCAACGCUUCCCCUAUUAACAUAUAGUGAGAGUAAAAACGUGGCUGAAAUAUACGAUGCUGUUUGCGGCCGAGUGUGGGGACGCACCUAAAAAGAAAGGAUUCUUCAAAGGUUUUUGGAAGAGGUCACGUCAUUAUUCAUUGGAGAACCAAUAGCCCAGGUUAGGCGGUAGGGUGAUGGGCCACCAGCAACGACAGACAUCGCGGCAACAACACCAUUAUCGACAACACGUCGCUACAAGCGCUUUGACGCACAGUGCUUGUUGCUGCAUCGUCCAGUAGCCUCGGUCCCGUUUCGUGGUAGAACCAGCGACAAGGUUCGCGUUCUUUCGUCCAUUUCAUCGAGCUUUUAUUCCGCCCGAUCAGUGGUCUCCGAAUACAACAAGCUACGUCAAUCCGUGGCAUUUUACUUUAAAGCGUGAAACAGAAUAGAAGCAAUAAUGUAAAAUGCUGCGCGAAUCGUGUCGAUUUUAUCUCCAUCUGGCGUUCAAAUCAAAUCAUUUUUCGCCGUUCGAUAAAAUGUUUGAUUAAAUCGCGUAAGCAACUUAAAUAAAUGUUAUAUAUAUAUAUUUACUUUUAUUUUAAAGAUUUGAAUAACGAUGUUUUCAAAUUUGUUCCUUUAUUUUUUCAAUUAUUAUUAUUUUUUUUUCUUUUUUUUUUUUUUCUUUUAACGCGAACCGAAAGUGUUGAAAACGGACACGACAUCCAUAGCGAUUUCUCGCAAUAACCGUAGGCUUCGCUUUCGAGAUGCGCACGCGCGCCCUCUUCCGUAUCUCGAGCGGUAAAAAGUUGGAUAAUUUUCGGAUCGAGAGGUAAUCGCAAGCUUGUAUGGCUUUACCAAUUGCUAGAUCGAUUUCGAUUGAACGGAACUUUUACUUUACAGAGGUAACCGCCGAUUAAGUCGUAAUAAUCUCAUCGGGGUGGAAGGUUAGAUCAAUCGUUUGGAACGGGCAGCUGUUUGAUUAGCAAUGCCAAAAAUACAGUAGUCGGCUUUCUAAUUGACGCAACGACGAUCGACGAUCAUCGUGGUUAGUCAUCCGGUCGACAAGUCGCGACCGAUCGCGAGCAUCAGUCACCUAGGCGUUUCUUUUCCAUCAUCUUCCUUGUGUAUCCAACGCGCGAGCACGUUUAUAGAAAGUGAGUAAUAAAUUAUAAGUUAUCCAGUAUUCGAGUACACGAAUAUUCAAUACGUGUUAGAUUGCGUUAGAUUAUAUAUUAUGGCACAAGCAAUAAGGAGAAAGAGGAGAGCGUACGAAAUGAACACGUCGAAAAAUCAUAACGGUACAACGUAAAGAAAAAAAUUACAUUGUAUUACAUAUUUAUUAUUAUUUAAAGAAUUUGUAAUUAUACGAAUGAAAUAUUUCUGAGUUUCAACGUUACCAUUUAAAUAUUAUUUUUAUUAUAUCAUUACUCAUAUCAUUAUCACUAUUAUCAUUACCAUUAAUGCAAUAUCAACUUGUUAUUGCUCUUCUCAUUAUUUUUUUUUUUUGUUAAUAUCUAUAAUAUAUUUAUUGUUAUCUUACUAUAUUAUCACCUAUGUCGUCAUUAUUGUUGUCUUUCUCAUCGUUAUUUAUUUACUAUUUUUACCAUCAUUGAUAUAUUAAUAUUUUUAUCAGAAUAAUCAUUGUGAUUAACCUUAUUUGUAUUUUUCUUCUUUUUUUUUAAUUUCAUUUUUAUCAUUAUUACUGCUAUUUAUUAUUAUUAUUAUGAUAAAUUUGUUGUUAUGAUCGUUGUUACUAUCAUUGUUAAUUCUUUAAUCUAUGCUAGCACCAAAAUACUUAAUUGUAUGCAUGCAAAAAAAUAUUGAAACACGCAGUGAAAUGCGGACAAUAAUGCAUUAUUUUUAUAAAAUGCUAUUUCAUAUUAACGAUUGAAUUAUUUAUUUAUUUACUUUUUUGCUUGCUUACUUAUCCACUUAUUAUUAUCUAUAAUUUUCUAUUCGAUAUGUUAUAUAUCGAAGGAAAAAGAAGCAAGAUUAUAGCCAGUAAUGUAAUAAAUGGUGACGAUAAUAACGAUAACACUUUUUAAAUUACAUUUAAUACAAGUUUGAAAAUCGAUAUAAUACAUUCGUUCUCCUCUCCGAUAUUUAAUGAAGUCGAAAGAAAAUCGAAUGAAAAAUCGCUUGAAUGCCAAAGAUUGUCCUGUAAUAAAUCGAAAACUCGCGCCGAUAUACAAAGAUAUAAAAAUCAUUUCUUUGUAUUCGUUUGAUAGAUUCUAUUUUGUACGAGAUUCUAUGUACAAAUAACUAGCUGAACGAAUAUCUUUUUCCUUUCUCUUUUCCUAUGUAUUUCCUUUUCCUUUUCUCGUUUUAAGUGCCAAUUAAUGACGCAAAUUCGUCGUCGUCAUCGUCGUCGUUGUCGUCAUCGUUAUCAUCAUCGUUCUUAUUUCUCAAAAUAAUAUUUUUCAAACAGAAAUUCCCUAUGAAUCGUUAAAUUCAUCGCAAAAUUCUGUUCACAUUAUUUUGCAUUAUACAUAUUGUUUUCACGUAAUAUAAUAUGUACGUAGGUAUUUAUUAACAUUUACGAAAGCGAUGACGUGAAUGUGCUUUAAUGGUUAAAAGGGGCUCUAUUAUAACUUAGAAGAGGAAAGAAGAAAUAAGAAAGAAGAAAAGGAAAGAAAAAAAUGGCGGAAGCUAUUUAAUCGUAAUGUAGGUUAUGAUAUUGUUUUCAUUUCCUACGCGAUAUAUUUAUUUAUUUUAACACAGUUAAAAUAAUACGCGGUCUUGUUACAAUGUAUGUAUAAUGAUUCUUGUAAAUAACAAUAUCAUAAAUUGUGGGUGUAACAUGGAAAAGAACGUGUAAGAAGAUAAAGAGAAACUAUUCCGCGAUCUAUUCGCGACGAAAGAUCGCAUGUUGGAAUUUGGACUGUGAGAAUGAUGGGCAUUCGAGAUACAUUCGGCCGCGUGCUAUUGUUGCUGCUGCUGCUAUUGUUGCUAUUACUAGCAUAACGUUGCUGUUAUUAGCAUAGUUCCAAAGUCGAGAGCACGCUGGCCGCUUUGUCGCAUAUUCGUUGAGAUGCAUGCACAUCUACCUGAUAAGACUUUAACUUAAUCUAAUAAAGGUUAAUGCUAUUUAAACUUAAUGCCAUUUAAAUGAAACGUUUAUAAAACAAUUUUCGCCACAUCGGUAUGUUAUAUCAUUUUGCAUGUAAGCGUACGUGCACGUGAACCUACAUGUUCAAUUACUUUUGUCAGUGCUGUUCUUUUUGUUCAUCAUAUAUGAUCAUUUUUUCUUCCUUCUUUUUAUUUGCCUGCGUCCCUUUUUUCUCUUUCUCUUUCUUCUCUUUAUCAACGAUUUAAACAAAAAUACAAAUUAUUAUUUUCUUUGAGUAUCGAGAUAUAAUGGAUAGAACAGAUAUCGUGUAAUCAUUAUCGAUAAUAAUGGGGAUUCUCUUUAAAAUAAAGAGAAACUGUAUGAAAGCGAAAUAGAUAUACUUAAUAAAUCUAAUUAAAUUCAGAAAAGUGAAUAUCGAAACGUAAACAUGAAACGAAGCACGAAUGAGAAAGGGGAAUUUUUCUUUCUUCCGAAAAAAAAAAACGAUUAAAAUCUUUGGAAAGAAUCGAAAAAAAUAUGAACAAUCAAGAAAUUUAUGAUAGAAUUAUGAGUCAAAUGCGAAGAAAGAAAUAUACGAUACUCGCUUGUACACCGCGUAAUACAGAUUAUCGACUUAUCUUAAUGGUACCAUCUACUUUUUUCAUGUGUUCUAACAUGAUUGUAUCUGACAAAUUCCAUAUACCGAUAUAUACGACGCACAUUCAAGUCAAGUUACCGAACAAGUUAUACGAUAUGAUUCGAUGUUCAUACGCCAUUAUCAAUUUACAUUAUUUAAAUUAAUCAUGAUGUUAAGACCGGUUCGUUGGGCGCAUCGUUUUUCUAGUCUUUGUUCCCUAAAUGAAAGCGAUCUGGGCGAGUAUAUGUAAAUCGGAUAAAAACGGGUCAAAAAUGAAAACAAACUCGGGUAAAUAUGCUGUAUAGUUAGAUUAUGUAGAAAGGAAAAGGAUUAACGCGUUGACACGAGAUAGGGGGAAAAUUUUAGUACAAAUUCAAUAGCUUUAUCGCUUAAGAUGUGGAAAAGAACAAGAAUAAAAGGUACUAAAAAAAUGAUAUGGCAAUAAACAUAUAGUGUGCAACAUACGAAUGCAGGGUUACAAAUACACGAUUAGGAAGUCGUUCGACGAAUUAAGCGCUCGACGCCUCGGUACUAAUAUCGACGACAUUUCGUAUCCCGUGAAUUACAAUCCAAGCCUUUCCUUCGAAUUAUAUACGUAUUAUCCGAGAUCAUCCAUGUUCGUUUGUAUCUCAUAUAUCUAUGCGCAUUAUUUUUUCCACUGCAAAGGUUUACGCGUCACCGAUCUCUAGUAUGCGAAAAGAGAUCUGGAUUAUCAUCUAUUAUUUACUCAAAACAAAUCGAAUAAAUUUCGAGAAUGAUAAAAAGUAGGCUAUAAGGCGUUGAUCGAUAGAAAAUAUAAAAUAUGACGAUUUCGAUCGCGAUAAGUAGAGGUAAUGUUUUUUAAGAAAAGAAAAAAAAUCAAUGCAAGUAAACGAGAGCGAUUUUUAUGUAAAUUUUCUUGAUAAUUUUGUAAAAAGUCUUAUUUAAUCUUCUAAUCUAUCAAUAAAUUAAAUAACAGUUUAUAAAUGAAAUGAAA